rnacentral:rRNA from 1 species
CCUACGGGUGGCUGCAGUGGGGAAUAUUGGACAAUGGGCGAAAGCCUGAUCCAGCCAUGCCGCGUGUGUGAAGAAGGCCUUCGGGUUGUAAAGCACUUUCAGUGGGGAAGGAAGCCUUGGGGCUAAUACCCUCGAGGAAGGACAUCACCCACAGAAGAAGCACCGGCUAACUCCGUGCCAGCAGCCGCGGUAAUACGGAGGGUGCGAGCGUUAAUCGGAAUUACUGGGCGUAAAGCGCGCGUAGGCGGUCUGAUAAGCCGGUUGUGAAAGCCCCGGGCUCAACCUGGGAACGGCAUCCGGAACUGUCAGGCUAGAGUGCAGGAGAGGAAGGUAGAAUUCCCGGUGUAGCGGUGAAAUGCGUAGAGAUCGGGAGGAAUACCAGUGGCGAAGGCGGCCUUCUGGACUGACACUGACGCUGAGGUGCGAAAGCGUGGGUAGCAAACAGGAUUAGAACCCGAGUAGUC